UGUAUGAGGACAAUAUUUCUUCGUGUAUUCAUAUUUUUUAGGAGUUUGCAACAUCAAAGCUCGAAGCAAGGCAAUCGAUCAACAGGGCUCAGUCACUCAGUACUAUGCUUAGUACUUUUUUAAAUAUCUAUCGGAGAAGUCUGGCUGGGAGAAUGGAAGAAAUUCAGACGCUCAAAUGACUUCUUUUACAAUAACGUGGAGAGGAAAGGAAACACACAAAAGAUGAUGCGAAUAGCAGUGUGUCAUAUGAAUCUCAAUUUUUUGAACAAGAAAAUGAAUUUGGGGAUUUAAAUGAACAAAGUGAAGAUAUUGCUGAAAAUUAUGACAAGCACCAAGAGUUAACCACCAAAACACAGGAUUCUGAAGAUAUUUUUACCAAGCAAUCUAUCUCUAUGAUUACAGAGGAAUCUAAACAACCAUGUCAACAUAGUCAAAGUCAUUUGUCACCCACUGGCCACUAUACUGGGCUAUUGUUACAGUUUGACUUUGCAUCAAAUGUAUCACGUCAGCAAUCCUUUGUUGUUCAUGAUUAUAAUGCAAACAAAAGAACAAUUAUGCAUAAUUCAUUUGUAUUUGUUCAUCGAUAUCCCCACCUAUUGCUUGAUGGCUACGGUUGGAUAUUGUGCUGCUCAUGUGAUGCAAAUAGAAAGCAAUUUGUUGAAGCCCUACCUAAUAAUAUACAAUUAGAUCCUCAAAA